UGAAAGAAGAAGAAAAAAAAACAAUGAUUCCUGGAUUGGAAAACUGAGAAAGAUGAUGCCCAAGUGAAGGAAUGAGAGGCACUUUGGAAAACAAUAAUGAUUUGAUAAGCAAGGUGAAAAUGCCACAAUGCACAAGUAAGUUCAUGUCCUUUCUCCGCUACUCAUUUCUGAAAAAUGUCACUUGUGGAAGAUAAAAAAAAUAAUAAUGGAAACUGUGGGAGGGCAAGGAAAGGACUAGAGGCAACAGCACUCUUCAGUAGUCAAACUGAAUGGCUGAACUACUGGAAGAUUAUUUGAAAUUACCCAUUUAGGCAAUUAUGUUCCUGUCUGCCAAGACUUAUGCUGGAGUGGUAGGCCUUUCAAGUUCUUUUUCUUGUCUUAUGACAAUUUAGAAAGGAGCUAAAUUUUUCAUUCCGUUUCACUAGGCAGGACUAAGGUAAGACUAUUUUGAUUAAGUGUCUGAGCAGACUUUUUUGAACUCUAUUAAAUCAGAGAACAACAGUCACUGCGAAUAUGUGAUGGCUCAGGGUCUCUCCAUGGUUUUUAUGUCUUUUCUUUCCUAACAGAAUUCAGAAAUGUGCAGCCCUACUCUAGAAUACACCUUUCUCAGGAUAUAUUUCUUAAG